AACGCACAUUGCGCCCGCCAGUAUUCUGGCGGGCAUGCCUGUUCGAGCGUCAUUUCAACCCUCAAGCCCAGCUUGGUGUUGGAGAUCGGCACAAGCGUCCUCCGGGUCGCCGCCGUCUCCCAAAUCUAGUGGCGGUCUCGCUGUAGCGUCCUCUGCGUAGUAAUUAACCUCGCACUGGAACGCGGCGCGGCCACGCCGUUAAACCCCCCACUUCUGAAGUUUGACCUCGGAUCAGGUAGGACUACCCGCUGAACUUAA
rnacentral:misc_RNA from 1 species